rnacentral:rRNA from 1 species
AUGGCGCUCACCAACUUCAUCGUGACAGCGGCGGUGGUGGGCGGGGCGCUGCUUCUCUUCACUACCGACGUCCGCAAGUCCGGCGCUGUCUUCCGCCGCAACGCCCGCCAAAUCCGACAGUGGCUCGAGGAGGACACCGCCUCCGCCGCAUCCAAGUCUGCAAAAGAAGCAGUUCCGCCUCCCAGGAAGCUGGAUACAGAGGUUCCCAAGGACAAGCCAAAGGAUCACUGA